rnacentral:rRNA from 1 species
UACAGAGGUCUCAAGCGUUGUCCGGAUUUAUUGGGCGUAAAGAGCUCGUAGGCGGCUUAGUAAGUCGGGUGUGAAACCUCCAGGCUCAACCUGGAGACGCCACCCGAUACUGCUGUGGCUAGAGUCCGGUAGGGGAGCGUGGAAUUCCUGGUGUAGCGGUGAAAUGCGCAGAUAUCAGGAGGAACACCAGCGGCGAAGGCGGCGCUCUGGGCCGGUACUGACGCUGAGGAGCGAAAGCGUGGGGAGCAAACAGG